UCUACGGCCAUACCACCCUGAACGCGCCCGAUCUCGUCUGAUCUCGGAAGCUAAGCAGGGUCGGGCCUGGUUAGUACUUGGAUGGGAGAGAGAGACAGUGAGAGAGAGCAUAAGAGGUGAGAA
rnacentral:rRNA from 1 species